UCGAACGGCAGCACGGGGGCAACCCUGGUGGCGAGUGGCGAACGGGUGAGUAAUACAUCGGAACGUGUCCUGUAGUGGGGGAUAGCCCGGCGAAAGCCGGAUUAAUACCGCAUACGCUCUACGGAGGAAAGGGGGGGAUCUUAGGACCUCUCGCUACAGGGGCGGCCGAUGGCAGAUUAGCUAGUUGGUGGGGUAAAGGCCUACCAAGGCGACGAUCUGUAGCUGGUCUGAGAGGACGACCAGCCACACUGGGACUGAGACACGGCCCAGACUCCUACGGGAGGCAGCAGUGGGGAAUUUUGGACAAUGGGCGCAAGCCUGAUCCAGCAAUGCCGCGUGUGUGAAGAAGGCCUUCGGGUUGUAAAGCACUUUUGUCCGGAAAGAAAACGUCGUGGUUAAUACCCGUGGCGGAUGACGGUACCGGAAGAAUAAGCACCGGCUAACUACGUGCC
rnacentral:rRNA from 1 species